rnacentral:tRNA from 22 species
CGCGGGGUAGAGCAGUUGGUAGCUCGUCGGGCUCAUAACCCGGAGGUCGUUGGUUCAAGUCCAGCCCCCGCAACCA